CUCUGUUUUGCAUGGAGCAGUCAACUCCCUUGUUGGGUGUUAGGUAUUAGAACUCUGAACUCUGAAGGUAGCCACUUUAUGUCAGUCUUUUUACUGGCAAUCACCUCUGUUUCGCACGCGAAGAGGAAAAAGUAAGCAAGACCGUGGUGCAGAUAUUAUAAGAUUAGAUAAUAAACCCGUAUAAAAAUUAAGGGGAAAGUAGCAUUUAAGGCAAUUCCUUUAAAAUUUUUAAACAAAUUCAAAUGAUUUUUCUGUUCGAAAUCUAAGCCAAAGGGACAAAAAAGAGCGGAGUUGAUAGAUGAGAGAUAAAGAAGAGCCACACUUGCAGUUGCACUCGCUAUGGCGUCCGGUCGAGAGAAAAUGUAUGUUUCUUCUCCAACAAAAGAACACGAAAACCACUCUCCUCCAAAUCCACGCUUUCAUGCUCCGUCACUCCGUCG
rnacentral:lncRNA from 1 species